rnacentral:rRNA from 1 species
CUGACGUUAGCGGCGGACGGGUGAGUAACACGUGGGUAACCUACCUAUAAGACUGGGAUAACUCCGGGAAACCGGGGCUAAUACCGGAUAAUACAUGAAACCGCAUGGUUUCAUGAUGAAAGACGGUUUUGCUGUCACUUAUAGAUGGACCCGCGGCGUAUUAGCUAGUUGGUAAGGUAACGGCUUACCAAGGCAACGAUACGUAGCCGACCUGAGAGGGUGAUCGGCCACACUGGAACUGAGACACGGUCCAGACUCCUACGGGAGGCAGCAGUA